rnacentral:rRNA from 1 species
GACGAACGCUGGCGGCGUGCCUAAUACAUGCAAGUUGAGCGCUGAAGGUUGGUACUUGUACCAACUGGAUGAGCAGCGAACGGGUGAGUAACGCGUGGGGAAUCUGCCUUUGAGCGGGGGACAACAUUUGGAAACGAAUGCUAAUACCGCAUAAAAACUUUAAACACAAGCUUUAAGUUUGAAAGAUGCAAUUGCAUCACUCAAAGAUGAUUCCGCGUUGUAUUAGCUAGUUGGUGAGGUAAAGGCUCACCAAGGCGAUGAUACAUAGCCGACCAGAGAGGGUGAUCGGCCACAUUGGGACUGAGACACGGCCCAAACGCCUACGGGAGGCAGCAGUAGGGAAUCUUCGGCAAUGGACGAAAGUCUGACCGAGCAACGCCGCGUGAGUGAAGAAGGUUGUCGGAUCGUAAAACUCUGUUGGUAGAGAAGAACGUUGGUGAGAGUGGAAAGCUCAUCAAGUGACGGUAACUACACAGAAAGGGACGGCUAACUACGUG